CAAAGACAUUGUUCGCCGGGGGUUUUGGUGAGUAUUUUCUGCCCACUGCAUUAUUGUAAAGGGCUGCAGUAUUUUGACUGUAUAAAGGUAGCAUAAUCAUUAGUUCUUUAAUUGGGGGCUGGUAUGAAGGGAGUACUAGGAAGAGGUUUAUUUUGCGGGGCGGUUGAAUUUUAUUUCUUUGUGAAAAGUCAGAGAUUUUUUUAUGGGACAAGAAGACCCUAUUAAGUUUUAUUAUCGGUUGUAGUGAGUAUAAAGGGGGUAUUAUUAGUGUGAUUUGUGGUCGAUUGGUUAGCUGGGGCGGCGGAAUAGAAAACGUCUUUUAUGGUUUAAUUUUUAGUAAAGCGGUUUAAUGACCUGAUUGGGUUAAAUGUGUGGAUAAUUACUUUAGGGAUAACAGCGUUAUCACUCUUGAAAGUUCUGAUUGACGGGGUGGUUUGCGACCUCGAUGUUGGAUUAGGAUAAACAUUGGAGUAGGAGCCGAUGAGUUGUCGU
rnacentral:rRNA from 1 species